ACCCCGAAGAGCAGCUGCCACCCAGCAGAGACAAUACUGAACUCCAUAGACCAAUGGCCUGAGCUGGCAUUAAGGCAGCCUCCUAUGUUCCUCCCUCACAGGGUUGCCAUAAGGAAAGAGAAAAGGAAGGUCAAUGUAUGCCACCGUGAGCUCUUUGGAGAGAGGACAAUAUAGAUUUAGAAUGCAAGGAUUACAAAUCAAUUACCAGCCCUAGGACAGUGUUCACGAUCUCUUAACAUGGAUUACUAUAUAGUUAUAAAAGCAUUAUGCAGCACUUCAUGUAAGCCUGCUCUGGGUUCUUUUUUAGGAUUUGUGUUGUUAAAACACUAAAGUUGCCCAAACAGUUCAAACCAGUUGCUCAGCAUGUCAGUUCGGAGAACCACAGGUGCAUCAGUAAUGGCUACAGAGAUGCGAAAUGAUCCAACAAUGAACUUCUGGGUGUACAAACUGGACACAUUAACCCUGGGGAGCCUCAGCCUGGAGGACAGUACCGGCUUCAGCGAAUGAAGACCACCUGAGCCAUUCCAUCCUCAAAACUCUCUUUAAGUGCCACCUUGGAAAGAGCACCAUUUCAUCAGAGCAGCUGCUUAAGGCAGAAACCCAAACACUGACUCUGCUUUGUUAAUUACAGCCUUCCUUCCUUCCUUCCUUCCUUCCUUCCUUCCUUCCUUCCUUCCUUCCUUCCUUCCUUCCACCCACAGAGCGCAAGGUGGCAGAGAUGAAGUUCCCAACUGACGUCCUAACCCAACUAGGAACUACUUGGCACUAGAAAGUUUGCCAUAUCAAACUAUCUCCUGGGGCUCAGCACUGCAUGUUCAAGAGCCUUCUUAUUCAUGACCACAGUCAUCCUUACAAUAACCCUGUAAGGAGCAGACACACACCCUCAGGAAUUCAGCAGGAUAUUUCCCCAAAACUCAAGUCGGGGAGCAGCUUGGAGUUACAAGAUCAUCAUAAUGUGAGGCCUUGUUGGUGUUGCCACCCAGUUUGCCUGAUCUGUGACAAGGCCUUUUCAGUGGUGGUUCACCUAGUGAGGUGCGCCUGUCUCUAUCGUUAACUUUCAGGAGGAAUUUGGAAACAUUCUUAUUUACCCAGGCGUCUGGUGACUGAAGGAUACUUCCUGGCAACCUCGAGAUGGCUACAGGAAUGUUUCUAACUGGUCCUAUGAGAGUGAGAUGGAGCCUAAGCAAGAGGAAGCUGGCAGUGUGGGCUGCCCCCCCCACUGGAUGCAAGUAGAAAGGCUGCCAGGUGGAGCCUGCCUAAGGGCAUCUGGGACUGGUGGGCCCCAUUUGUGUUAAUGGACUGGCUUACACUGAUUUAUGGCAAGUGACAUGUUUUAUGCCCUUUGCUUA